GCUUGAGUGGUGGAAUUGGCAGACACGCAGGACUUAGGAUCCUGUGCCGCAAGGCGUGCGGGUUCGACCCCCGCCUCAAGCA
rnacentral:tRNA from 1 species